rnacentral:rRNA from 1 species
UACGUAGGGGCCAAGCGUUGUCCGGAUUUAUUGGGCGUAAAGAGCUCGUAGGCGGUUGGGUAAGUCGGGUGUGAAAACUCCAGGCUCAACUUGGAGAUGCCACCCGAUACUGCUCUGACUUGAGUUCGGUAGGGGAGUGGGGAAUUCCUGGUGUAGCGGUGAAAUGCGCAGAUAUCAGGAGGAACACCGGUGGCGAAGGCGGAUCUCUGGGCCUUGCCUGACGCUGAGGCGCGAAAGCUAGGGGAGCGAACAGG